rnacentral:lncRNA from 1 species
CAUGAAAGGUGUACGCGUGGAGGAAUGGGCGGUGCUAGAAAAGAGAGGGCUGAGAGUUAUACAAAUCCAUUCGAUUCCAGAUUGAUAACAUAAACAUAGUAAGCUGGUUAGAUAUUAGUCAGUUUUAUUUGUUGUAUUACAGUUCCUGACAAAGUUCAACCUGUCGCUCCAUUAAUCCCGCACAAAGCUCUACAGUCUGAUUGAUUCGUCAGUCUGGUGUCUCCAUAAGCUUCCCAUGACUCUGAAAGUGUUUAAGUGCCUUGUAGAGUGUUCGACAUAUACCCGAUACGCAAAUUAUUUUUUUAAAUAUUUUCUUCUUUCUGCUCGUGGUUUAGCUCUAAGUUGAUGGCUCCUGUAGUGAAUAAAGAGGGGCGAUCGACAUGGAUAAUGUUUUUCCCGCUAAGAUGACAAAAUUCUGGGGGAAAUCAAACUCCAAACCUGGUCCAAUUAAAGGCAAUAGAUUAUACUGUUGGGCAUCAUUUGGGUGUCCUAUAUAUGAAACCACUUCGAAUAAAUCUUAUAUGAUUUCUG